rnacentral:lncRNA from 1 species
GAUCCCUCCACUCUCCAGGAAGGAAACGAAAAUUCUAACGUGACAAAAGAUUCUUAAUGGGUGUUGCGGUCCCACCGAUGCCAUGCACCUCACCUAACAGUUAUUGAUAAUAUGCAUACUGAUGCGUAGGCAACUCUUUGCCUAGAUACUUCUCUAAGCAUAUUGCAGCGACUUGGUUUCUAAGUCAUGUGGGCUCACCUAACAGUUAUUACCUACACUCGUUAAUUAAGUCCGACCCAUCAUUCACAAGCAGGUGUAAGGCCAUUAUUGGAUCCCUUUUCUAACAGUUAUUGGGUCCAACCCCAUCCUUACCCUGAAGCAACUCUUUGCUAAUAGAGUGGUUACGUAUUUUCGAUGCAACUGAACCACUGUGACCAGUCGAGAAUAAUCAAUACCGGUAG